rnacentral:rRNA from 1 species
GACGAACGCUGACGGUGUGCUUUAGGCAUGCAAGUCGAACGAGAAAGCCCUUCGGGGUGAGUACAGUGGCGAACGGGUGAGUAACACGUGGGCAACCUGCCCCUCGCAGGGGGACAACCGGAGGAAACUCCGGCUAAUACCCCGUACGCUUGUUGGGUCGCAUGGCCCGGCAAGGAAAGGUAGCUUCGGCCAUCCGGCGAGGGAUGGGCCCGCGCUGCAUUAGCUAGUUGGUGGGGUAACGGCCCACCAAGGCGACGAUGCGUAGCUGGUCUGAGAGGAUGAUCAGCCACACUGGGACUGAGACACGGCCCAGACUCCUACGGGAGGCAGCAGCCAGGAAUCUUGGGCAAUGGGCGAAAGCCUGACCCAGCAACACCGUGUGAGUGACGAAGGCUCUAGGGUCGUAAAGCUCUGUUGAUAGGGACGAAGGGCGAAGGGUUAAUAGCCCCUAGCUUGACGGUACCUUUCGAGGAAGCCCCGGCUAACUACGUGCCAGCAGCCGCCGUAAGAC